CCUACGGUGGGCAGCAGUGAGGAAUAUUGGUCAAUGGGCGAGAGCCUGAACCAGCCAAGUCGCGUGAGGGAGUACUGCCCUAUGGGUUGUAAACCUCUUUUGUCGGGGCGCAAAAGCCGGACGUGUCCGGCUGUGAGAGUACCCGAAGAAAAAGCAUCGGCUAACUCCGUGCCAGCAGCCGCGGUAAUACGGAGGAUGCGAGCGUUAUCCGGAUUUAUUGGGGUUAAAGGGUGCGCAGGCGGAUUUUUAAGUCAGCGGUCAAAUCGUGGGGCUCAACCCCAUCCAGCCGUUGAAACUGGGGAUCUUGAGUGUGCGAGAGGUAUGCGGAAUGCGUGGUGUAGCGGUGAAAUGCAUAGAGAUCACGCAGAACCCCGAUUGCGAAGGCAGAAUACCGGUGCACAACUGACGCUCAGGCACGAAAGCGUGGGUAUCGAACAGGAUUAGAUACCCGGGUAGUC
rnacentral:rRNA from 1 species